CUCCUCGGGGUGCAGGAAGGCGGUGAACUCCUCCUUGGUGGCCGCCAUGUCGCCGUCGCGGUCGGCCAUCUUGAAGCGCCGCUCGUCCCUCACCAUCAUCUGCUUGUAGUUGAAGCCGUCGUCCGGGUCGGGGUCGUCCAGGACGGAGCCGUAGGUGGCGUUGCGGUACUCAUCCCAGGACACGGUGCCGUCCCCGUUGAGGUCGUGGCCCUUCCACUGCCGCUCCACGUCCUCAUAGAUCCACCUCUUCUGCGCAAACUUAAUCCACUCCCGCAGCUCCUCCACCGUCACGAAGCCGUCCUGGUCGCUGUCGAUCUUCACGACGAUUUUGC
rnacentral:lncRNA from 1 species